CGGUAUCCUGGCGUCAGGAUGAACGCUGCGGCAUGCCUAAUACAUGCAAGUCGAACGAGAGACCUUCGGGUCUCUAGUGGCGAACGGGUGAGUAACACUAGGGAACCUGCCCGCGCACCGGGAAUACGCUCUGGAAACGGAGAACAAAUCCCGAUGUACAGGAAGGAGGCAUCUUCUUUCUGUGAAACAUCCUUUAGGGGAUGGGGCGCGGAUGGACCUGCGGUGCAUUAGUUGGUUGGCGGGGUAAAGGCCCACCAAGACGAUGAUGCAUAGCCGGCCUGAGAGGGCGGACGGCCACAUUGGGACUGAGACACAGCCCAGACUCCUGCGGGAGGCAGCAGUAGGGAAUUUUCGUCAAUGGGCGCAAGCCUGAACGAGCGAUGCCGCGUGAGUGAAGAAGGCCUUCGGGUCGUAAAGCUCUGUUGCGGGGGAAAAAAGGCAGCAUCAGGAAAUGGGUGCUGACUGAUGGUGCCCCGCCAGAAAGUCACGGCUAACUACGUG
rnacentral:rRNA from 1 species